CUUGGUCAUUUAGAGGAAGUAAAAGUCGUAACAAGGUCUCCGUUGGUGAACCAGCGGAGGGAUCAUUACCGAGUUUACAACUCCCAAACCCCUGUGAACAUACCUAUACGUUGCCUCGGCGGAUCAGCCCGCGCCCCGUAAAACGGGACGGCCCGCCCGAGGACCCCUAAACUCUGUUUUUAGUGGAACUUCUGAGUAAAACAAACAAAUAAAUCAAAACUUUCAACAACGGAUCUCUUGGUUCUGGCAUCGAUGAAGAACGCAGCAAAAUGCGAUAAGUAAUGUGAAUUGCAGAAUUCAGUGAAUCAUCGAAUCUUUGAACGCACAUUGCGCCCGCCAGUAUUCUGGCGGGCAUGCCUGUUCGAGCGUCAUUUCAACCCUCAAGCUCAGCUUGGUGUUGGGACUCGCGGUAACCCGCGUUCCCCAAAUCGAUUGGCGGUCACGUCGAGCUUCCAUAGCGUAGUAAUCAUACACCUCGUUACUGGUAAUCGUCGCGGCCACGCCGUUAAACCCCAACUUCUGAAUGUUGACCUCGGAUCAGGUAGGAAUACCCGCUGAACUUAAGCAUAUCAAUAAGCGGAGGA
rnacentral:rRNA from 1 species